CUGCUGCCUUCCGUAGGAGUUUGGUCCGUGUCUCAGUACCAAUGUGGGGGGGUUGACCUCUCAGUCCCCCUAUGUAUCGUCGCCUUGGUGAGCCGUUACCUCACCAACUAGCUAAUACAACGCAUGUCCAUCUCUGACCACCUGAGUUUUCAACCACCGAAGAUGCCUCCGGUGAUGUUAUGGGGUAUUAGUACCAAUUUCUCGAUGUUAUCCCCCUGUCAAAGGUAGGUUACAUACGCGUUACGCACCCGUCCGCCGGUCGCCGG
rnacentral:rRNA from 1 species